AUUAAUUAUCUAAUAUUUACAUUUUAUUUCAGCUUUAUUUCAAUUAAAGAAAAUUAAUUUAAUUUAACAAUGGGAGAUUUGGGUAUCUCCAGCUAAACCAGCAAACCACUUUUUGGGCUGUGUUAUUAUUUCCUUUUUUCACCAGCAGGGAAUGAAAGCAAGCAAGCAAGAAAGAAAAAUAAGUUCUAAAGUUUUCAUUUGUAACCCUUUGUACCCUGUUGCCAUAGAGAGAGUUCACACACAGGUCACACUGACCAGCUGAGCAGGAAUCAGACACACAGUAUCAGACAGAGGAGAACAGGAACUGCACAGAUCGGAGGAAAAGAAGAGGAAGAACAGCAGGAAAUCAGUGAAGGUGAAGUCUGGACGUACCUCCCGACCGGACAUCUCUCUCCCUCUGCCGUGUGCUGAUCCGUAAGAUCAGCAUUCCCGAAGAACGUGGGUGAGGAGUACACUGCUAUCCCAGAAUUCCCUGCCACCAGCAGCUCGUACCCUGGGACAGACCGGGGCCGUGCUGGAGGAGAGCAGGAGAGCUGCACACGG